UGGGGAAUAUUGCACAAUGGGCGGAAGCCUGAUGCAGCAACGCCGCGUGAGGGAUGACGGCCUUCGGGUUGUAAACCUCUUUUAGCAGGGAAGAAGCGAAAGUGACGGUACCUGCAGAAAAAGCGCCGGCUAACUACGUGCCAGCAGCCGCGGUAAUACGUAGGGCGCAAGCGUUAUCCGGAAUUAUUGGGCGUAAAGAGCUCGUAGGCGGUUUGUCGCGUCUGCUGUGAAAUCCCGAGGCUCAACCUCGGGCCUGCAGUGGGUACGGGCAGACUAGAGUGCGGUAGGGGAGAUUGGAAUUCCUGGUGUAGCGGUGGAAUGCGCAGAUAUCAGGAGGAACACCGAUGGCGAAGGCAGAUCUCUGGGCCGUAACUGACGCUGAGGAGCGAAAGGGUGGGGAGCAAACA
rnacentral:rRNA from 1 species